rnacentral:pre_miRNA from 1 species
UAUGUACUCCCUCCGUUCCAAAAUACUUGACUUCCAUUUGUCAAAAAAUGGAUGUACCUAUAUACUAAGACAUGUCUAGAUACAUAUAUAUUUUGACAAAUAGAAGGCAUGUAUUGUGCAACGGAGGGAGUAGAAU